rnacentral:rRNA from 1 species
GAUGAACGCUGGCGGCGUGCUUAACACAUGCAAGUCGAACGAAGCAUUUAAGACAGAUUACUUCGGUUUGUAGUCUUUUAUGACUGAGUGACGGACGGAUGAGUAACGCGUGGGUAACCUGCCUCAUAGAGGGGGAUAGCAGCUGGAAACGGCAGAUAAUACCGCAUAAGGGCACAGUACCACAUAGUACAGUGUGAAAACCUCCGGUGGUAUGAGAUGGACCCGCGUCUGAUUAGCUUGUUGGCGGGGUAACGGCCCACCAAGGCGACGAUCAGUAGCAGAGCUGAUAGGGUGACCGGCCACAUUGGAACUGAGACACGGCCCAGACUCCUACGGGAGGCAGCAGUGGGGAAUAUUGCACAAUGGAGGAAACUCUGAUGCAGCGACGCCGCGUGAGUGAAGAAGUAGUUCGCUAUGUAAAGCUCUAUCAGCAGGGAAGAUAGUGACGGUACCUGACGAAGAAGCGCCGGCUAAAUACGUG